AGUGAACGCUGGCGGUAGGCCUAACACAUGCAAGUCGAACGGCAGCACAGUAAGAGCUUGCUCUUACGGGUGGCGAGUGGCGGACGGGUGAGGAAUACAUCGGAAUCUACUUUUUCGUGGGGGAUAACGUAGGGAAACUUACGCUAAUACCGCAUACGACCUACGGGUGAAAGCAGGGGAUCUUCGGACCUUGCGCGAUUGAAUGAGCCGAUGUCGGAUUAGCUAGUUGGCGGGGUAAAGGCCCACCAAGGCGACGAUCCGUAGCUGGGCUGAGAGGAUGGUCAGCCACACUGGAACUGAGACACGGUCCAGACUCCUACGGGAGGCAGCAGUGGGGAAUAUUGGACAAUGGGCGCAAGCCUGAUCCAGCCAUACCGCGUGGGUGAAGAAGGCCUUCGGGUUGUAAAGCCCUUUUGUUGGGAAAGAAAAGCAGCAGGUUAAUACCCCGCUGUUCUGACGGUACCCAAAGAAUAAGCACCGGCUAACUUCGUG
rnacentral:rRNA from 1 species